UACAGAGGUCCCAAGCGUUGUUCGGAUUCACUGGGCGUAAAGGGUGCGUAGGUGGCGAGGUAAGUCGGAUGUGAAAGCUCGGAGCUCAACUCCGAAAUGGCAUUGGAAACUACCUUGCUCGAGGGUUGGAGGGGGGACUGGAAUUCUCGGUGUAGCAGUGAAAUGCGUAGAUAUCGGGAGGAACACCAGUGGCGAAGGCGAGUCCCUGGACAACUCCUGACACUGAGGCACGAAAGCUAGGGGAGCAAACAGG
rnacentral:rRNA from 1 species